rnacentral:rRNA from 1 species
UACGAAGGGGGGCUAGCGUUGUUCGGAUUUACUGGGCGUAAAGAGCGCGUAGGCGGUUGCAUAUGUCAGAUGUGAAAUCCCAGGGCUUAACCCUGGAAUGGCAUUUGAAACUGUGCGACUUGAGGACAGGAGGGGGAAGUGGAAUUCCCGGUGUAGCGGUGAAAUGCGUAGAUAUCAGGAGGAACACCUGUGGUGUAGACAGCUUACUGGACCACGACUGACGCUGAGACACGAAAGCGUGGGUAGCAAACAGG